AACUUUCAACAACGGAUCUCUUGGUUCCAGCAUCGAUGAAGAACGCAGCGAAAUGCGAUAAGUAAUGUGAAUUGCAGAAUUCAGUGAAUCAUCGAAUCUUUGAACGCACAUUGCGCCCCUCGGUAUUCCGGGGGGCAUGCCUGUUCGAGCGUCA
rnacentral:rRNA from 2 species